GGGCAACAUGACCACAGCCAAGCCAAAAAGACUCAAGUUUUCCGAAGAAGAGAAGUUCCUCAUCCUUGAAGAAUUCAGCCUGCGCAAGGACAUCCUGAUCCCCAAGAGCGGGCGCUACAGGAACACGAUGGACCGUCAGCGAGCGUGGGAAGAGAUCACUGCUGCCGUCAACUCCCUCAGCCCACUCGUGCGGCGCACGCCUGACGAGAUCCGCAAGAAGUGGCAUAACAUGGUCAUUGAUGCCCGCAAGGAGCUGACCACGGUGAAACACCCCUUGUUGAGGCAGCGGCCCCAGGAGAGGCUCUUCCACAACAUCUUUGCUCUCUUCAAUAAGACAGGGCCAGAGCUGGCAGAACCAUUGCUUCUGGGCCCUGGGUUCAUAAGGAAGCCGUCCAGCAGCCCGGCUGGAACUGCAGUGCCUCUCUGUGCAGCGGGGGGGAUGCGGGAGUCUUCGUCAGACUUAUUCCUCCACAGCCAGAAUGAUGGACUUCAGCUGAGCCAGGGGAACAAACUGCUCUGCAAAACGGAAGUCCUUUUGGACGCAGACGAAGAAAUGGCACCAGGGACUGGCUAUCCAGGAAAGAGCUUCAUCCAUGCGCCAGGGGACCCGCAGCCCAGCGAUUUGUGCUUGGGUGGAUCUCAAGGGAGUGUGGAAAAGAAACUGUUGGGCCCCAGUAAGGAUCCUCCUCUGACUUGUACGCCCGUAGCUGAGACACACCCUGUGCCAGUUCCCAGAACUACCUCACCACUUAGCCAUGGACCUGAGGUGCUUGCUCCUGGCAGGACUCCGGCGCCUCUGAACUGCUCCCCAGACUUUGCACUGGCCUACAAGAUCAAGUGCCCUUUGAGCCCUGUAUUCGAAUGGCCUUGCCUAGGGGUCAUCUCAAGCCCAGUCACACACAGCAGCAGGACUGACAGCCCCAGCUCCGAAGGCAUCCACACAGCAAUGGAUGAUAAUGCAAGCGCAUCUGUGACCGAAGAUUCGCUGCCCAGCCAGAGGGGUUGUGUCGAGCCAGCCAAGGAGCUUUGGGAGAAGCACAGCCGGCUGCACACCGAGAUCCUGGAGCUGCAGAAAGAGACCUUGCAGCUGCAGAAGGAGAAGAUCAUGCUGGAGAAAGAGAAACUCUUACUGGAAAUUGUCAAACUGCGGCGAGAGCUGGACACGUGACCAGCUGCCAGGGAAUGAUCUGCCCCUCCCCAGUCUGUGGAGCUCAGAGCCCAGUUCAGACCCACUCGGCUCCAAGUACACUGUUCCCUGGAGCUUCAUGUGCUUGAGUGAAACAAAAAUUGCUUGCUGCUCUGAAUGAGCAGGAGAGGACUGAGCUGGUGCUGAACUUCACAGACGCGAAUGGCAGGGACUCUGGUUCCUGUGCAGAAAAGACCAGAGAAAUCACUCCACUGAUGCUCUUAACCUGCAGUGAGAGCCACACCCAGGACAUUGGGGGGCACCCAUUGUGGCUUUGGUGGCAUAGCAUAAAACUCGCAUAUGUUUGGGAGAGCCACAGCACCAAGAAAAUAACUCUGCGUGGGCCUACGCGGGGUCCCUUCCUUAGCAGAGUGCCAGAGCAGUCCAUGGGCCAGGAAAGACGGUCGUAUCUGUGUGUGGUACAGCAGCACAGCGCAUCACCCCGGGCUUCACCUGCUGCUUCGCGCGUUGCAGAGAAGACUGAACAUGUAGCCACACCAUUGCUUCCUAUCCCUGCGGGUCCUUCCCCCUUUAGCCGCUAAGCCACGAGCAGGGAAUUUAAACCAGUAUCUUCUUUUUUCCACGUUGAUAUAAACUCACUAAGUAGAGAAGCAGCAUAGCAGCCCACUCCCUGUCCAAGCCAGGAUCCAGCCCUUUACUACGGUGUAAGGAGCUACAGAGCAAAGCCAAAGGGUCUUUCUCGUGGCAGACUCCUGGUGAUAAGAGCAGGAGUUUUACCUGAGUAAGAACUUAGGGUUUGGCCUUUAAUGUUUACGUAUUACGUUAAAAUAAACAAGGGAGCACCGCCA
ensembl:lncRNA